rnacentral:rRNA from 1 species
CCUACGGGGUGCAGCAGUGGGGAAUAUUGCACAAUGGGGGAAACCCUGAUGCAGCGACGCCGCGUGAGUGAAGAAGUAAUUCGUUAUGUAAAGCUCUAUCAGCAGGGAAGAAAAUGACGGUACCUGAGUAAGAAGCCCCGGCUAACUACGUGCCAGCAGACGCGGUAAUACGUAGGGGGCAAGCGUUAUCCGGAUUUACUGGGUGUAAAGGGAGCGUAGACGGCAGUGCAAGACUGGAUGGAAAGGGGGGGGCUCAACCCCCGGACUGCUCUGGAAACUGUCCGGCGGGAGUGCAGGAGAGGUAAGUGGAAUUCCUAGUGUAGCGGUGAAAUGCGUAGAUAUUAGGAGGAACCCCAGUGGCGAAGGCGGCUUACUGGACUGUAACUGACGUUGAGGCUCGAAAGCGUGGGGAGCAAACAGGAUUAGAUACCCUUGUAGUC